rnacentral:rRNA from 1 species
UACAGAGGUCCCAAGCGUUGUUCGGAUUCACUGGGCGUAAAGGGUGCGUAGGUGGUGAAGUAAGUCGGAUGUGAAAUCUCGGAGCUCAACUCCGAAACUGCAUUGGAAACUACUUUGCUCGAGGGUUGGAGGGGGGACUGGAAUUCUCGGUGUAGCAGUGAAAUGCGUAGAUAUCGAGAGGAACACCAGUGGCGAAGGCGAGUCCCUGGACAACUCCUGACACUGAGGCACGAAGGCCAGGGGAGCAAACGGG